UACGUAGGGAGCAAGCGUUGUUCGGAUUUACUGGGCGUAAAGGGCGCGUAGGCGGCGUGUCAAGUCGAUUGUGAAAUCUCCGGGCUUAACUCGGAACGGCCAAUCGAUACUGACGUGCUAGAGUGCAGAAAGGGCAAUCGGAAUUCUUGGUGUAGCGGUGAAAUGCGUAGAUAUCAAGAGGAACACCUGAGGCGAAGGCGGGUUGCUAGGCUGACACUGACGCUGAGUGCGCGAAAGCCAGGGGAGCAAACAGG
rnacentral:rRNA from 1 species